CCUUGGGGUUUGAACGCGUUC
rnacentral:piRNA from 1 species